UUGUUUGGAAAAUGAUUUUACAAUCUCUAUUUGAUUAAACACGAUUCCGAAUUUAAAUGGCUUCGAAGAUCCCAGCUGGGAAGCACCGAAUGCGUGAAACUAACACAAGUUGCACGUCGAUCCGCGCGCGACUUUCGACUGGCUGGCGUCCUCCAGCUCGCAGCGCAUCGCGUUCCGCUUGAGACGGCCUUCGCUCCUCGGUUUCCAUUACGAACACCGUUGUUCUGGACCGUAUACACGGUCUGUGUCAUCGUUAACCAAUCGUCCAAAGGUAAAAGUCCUAUCUACUAGCAACAAACAGAAAUGAACGCGACGCGAAACGUCUGAAAAGGCACGUGGCGUAUCCACGGCAGUUUAGAAUGCGACUGAGGAGGCUACUGUAUGUACGUAGAAUACCAUAGUCGCUGUGGCGGUGUCCUCGUCGAUAAGGAUUAUCACGAACGAAUAACCUCGUUAUCUCCGACACUCGAGAAAGAUCGUGCGAAUUAGGCGCCAAGCGGAUAAUGAUCAAUCAACUCACGGCACGAGGCAUGCAAUUUAUAGCAAGGACGAUUCAAUAAACGCUCCAUCCGGAAAAAGCGAAACGCAUCCUGGCCGCAGCUGCGACUCCAGGAACAUGGAGCGAUGACAUCACACAGAGGAAUACAUGGGCAAUCGUUUCUGGUUUUCAAAGCUGUACCUACAGACGCGACAAAAGCCACGGGUUUUCAGUCAAACGAAGACAAGGAGUGACUAAGAAAUCCAAAGUAUAAAGGUGAUCUCACUGUACGCGUGGGUGACCGACAUCUUGUCAGACCCACACGCGCGUGCGAGCACCUGCGUGUCGUCGCGCCGCGAUCCUCCCGGUAAUUAUCGGUUGGGAAUCACUCAACGGAAUGAUGGACGUUUAUAAUAAUAGCCAGCCGCUGUGAACUGAAAUCCUCAAGGUUUCCCGAUUCACAAACGUACCGCUCGAUUGAGUACAGAAACUGUGACGUUUAAUACUUCAAUAAAAUGGUAUUUUAUGCAAAAUAAAAUUCACGCACUCGUGUCUAUUAUAAAUGCAUAAAAACCCGCAGUCUAAUGUUCGUUGAUUCGACAAAAUAUAAAGUGAACAUUACAAAUUGUCGAACGACGUUUGAUUGAUUGACAAUAUUUGGCGAGCUCUUUUGUUCAGUCGAUCGCAAUCAAAUUAUUUAUUUCCCUUGACUUCGCUUCAGGACGAAUUUUCCAGUGAAACGCAAAAUCUGAAAAUAGGUCGACGGUAUCUCUUUCUUCCUCGAAGAACCGCGGUGUCAACGAUCAACCACGUUUCGGAGGUGUUUAACCGUGGUGUUCUUUGAAAAGGCCAGGGUUGGUGCCGGGACCGGUCGCCCACCGAAAAUAGGUUUUUAUCGUGUUUUCGGAAGCUGCAACAGCCACGGGAGGUGGGUGUGGGUAGUAAAUCACGGUUUAGUGCGUUUAAAAACGCGAUAGGCGGCUCGAUUUAAAAUAGACGCGCGUGCGCGCGCGCGCGCGCACCGACUAUACCGCGUAAGUAGAAUCCCACGAAACGAAAAAGACAACGCGGUCGACUUUACGCGUUUCGUCAUUCGAUAUUCUGCGAUGCAAAUCGAGAAGAUUGCGCCAAUUCCACGACGAACGACUCGUUCGCGUGUGCCGAGGACAAUCACCUCGCAAAACGAUCGUUCGUUUUUUUCUUCGUUCAAACGUUUCGACAUUCCCCCUGCUUGACCGUCUGGCCUCGUGACACUUUUCGCUAAACCGCGAAUUCUUAUUCGUCAGGGGAAUAAAACUGGUUCACGAAUUUGACAUCGGUAAUCUUAAUCGUCCGUCCCGUGGUUUCCGCUUAAAAUAACUAGACCUGCAUACCUUACUGUGUGUAGGCCGAGAACUCUCCUCUUGUAACCCGGCAAUUCUAAAUGUUACAUAAAAAUAAAUAGAUCGCAAUUGAGAUCAGUGUUUGCCGUUUAUAUCAGUCCGCAGGUGAAAAACGUACCUUUAAACUUUCGUGAUAAGUGAAGAAAAUGGUUGUUAAAUGGUAUACGACUGACUCAACCUAGGAGAUACAAGAGGAAUAACAUUUGCACGAUAAUAUACACGACACUCCAAGAAGACAAACGUCGCCAGAUAGCGCCUGCUUACUGUGUAAUCAGCAUACUAUCUACACACUUCUACGGUCUUAAUGAAUCAUAAGCCUGACGAGAAUCGCGUAUACGUAUUUUGCAUAAUGAAACUUCCUCUUUAAAAAAGUGUUCAGAUUAAUCUCUUUACGAGGGGUAGAUCGGAGAAAGAUUGGACGUGUUCUCCGAGUGAAAUUCAUCUCUUGGAUAAAUCGACUCGUGGUUAAGCGAAGCAACAGGUGCUCCGACCGGACCGGAAUCGAUCAGAACCACUGCCCUCGUAAACUAGGUAGACCACGAAAUUAAUAUAACACGCCGGCACUGCGGCUCCGUUACCGUAAUUCUAUUUUACCUAUACAAGUAGAAACAGGCACCGAGUACUCGUCUCCUACGCGCUCGCGUGACAAUCUCGAGACGUCGAUGCGAGAGUAAGAACCCCCUGAACGGAUCCAGCUAAUGGGACGAGGGCUGAACAAGUCGGUUCGGUGUCACCACAAGAACGCGCACAGCUCUAUCCCAUAAAGCACACGGUUCCGGCGCAACAGGUACACGCACUGGUCCGGACCACGAGCAGCAGCUUCUAAUCGUCCCACGCACGUCACACUCGCACGGAUAAGCUUGCGUAAUCACGUGUAUCGUGUCAACGUUGAGAAAGCGAGAGCACGAACGAGGCAGAAGAAAAUGUAUGAAGCGUCUCGUGAAGAACAGGUGACUGCGUCGCGAAAAACGAAAUCGUGUGCGAUACUCGUUGACCCUAAGUACACUGGCGCGUAUCGCGUGAAGCACGUGCUCGCUCGCGUUUGCCAGAAAGAGGCGGUACGCGAUGCAAGCGACUCGCUUGUUCGCCAAUGACUCACUACGGCUUCUGGUGCUUGAGGACGCACGCAGAUCGACAGAGCCUGCGUGACUCGAGUUCCGAGCAAUUGCUUUGCACGACGUGUUUACUCAUGAGGACUUGAAGCACGAUCGAAAAAACCCAAUGUCCAAAUAUAGUACCCCAACAUUGGCAAUAAAGCACGAUUGCCUAAGUUCGAAAUAAAUGACAAAAACUUGGAACGGGCCCGACGUGAUAGGUAAAUGAAAAUAAAUGUGAUUGACGUAAAGGAAACCUUGAUCUUCGACUGCCUCGAACUCGAGUAACAAAUUAGUAUAAUCCAUCAAUGCGGCGCUGAAACUUAUGUUAACUUCUACGGCUCGAGGGCCUUCCUACACGCUCGCGCUUACUAUUACUAGUCUAGACAGCAUUGAGCUAGACAGUUAGACCAUAAUCGUAAGCCCAGAUUGCUCUGGGUUUAGUAAUGUUCAAAAUCUGGCCUACGGAUCCAACUCAUAUUACCAUUCCAGCUUGGCUGUAACGUACGUAGCGUCAGUAGACUGGUGUUUAGAAAAUAGUCGAUCCGCAAGUACGAGCACGUGCUGCACGUUGGAUAGUACCUCGUAAAAUUGACGUGAAUCAGCGUAAUUUGACGAGACAAGUCUCCUUAUCGUUACUAAAACGCGAAUUAAACCAUAAAUAAUAGGAAUACCAAGCUGACAAUUGAGGAAGCUUUCUGCCUGUGUUUGGCAACUCUAUAUCUAUAAAUAAAUGGAACCCCGCUGCAUGUUACGAAUUUCGAAAAUCUUAGUUUGAUAUAUGAAUAUGCGUGACCCAUUCGUUUUUAUGUUUUAUUACGUAGAUUAUCGAUGUUCAUUCGCGUAGGUAGUGAACAGAGGCGCAUAUUUUAUUACGAACGAAUCCGUAACGGUGCAUUGUAAAGUUAAACGACACGGGACUGAACUCUAUUAGAAGCCGUCUGGAACUGCCGCCACGUUUUAUUGGAUUUGAGUGAAAGCGGGACGACAACGGAGUCCCUGUUGUUUCGUCAGUUUGAAAUCUGUAACGCAGUUAUAAUACCACGCCUCGAUUAUUAAGGAUGGGAUGGAUAUAUAAGGAUUAUUAGGCUAUACACUUAAACAAUGCUAGCAUGUUGAAUUUGUUAUUAUGAUGUAAUAUAGAUUCCUAUAUAUAGAUUCGUUUACUCCCGCAUUUAUCGAUAAUCAGGCAGGAUUUUUUGGGUUAUUCCAAAGGGAAUGACCAGAUGACUAAUCCUAGGGGGUAGGUACUUAAAGUCAGUUGGUAGCGUUUGCAAAGACUUUGCAAACGAUACCAAGCGAAGAACUACGACUAGUUUAAGAAUCUCUGUACCCCAAAUUGUAAAAUAUUGUAAAGUAUGUUGGUCUUUCAAUACAAUGUAUGUGCUAAUGAGUGUUACGACGAAAUAAAGGAAAGAACUUGAUUGAAUUUUGAUUAAUAAAUGAAUGAAAAUGAA